rnacentral:lncRNA from 1 species
GUCGGCAUAUCGCGCGUAACAAAUCCUUAUUAAGUAAUAGGUUUUUAAGGGGGCCAGCUUACGGGCCAGGCCUCUCUCUGACCUGAUAACAAGUAUCGCCUCCCCGCCCAGCUCUAUCAGCGGGCCCUUUCUUUUGCAAUACUUAAAAGAGUCUCUCAUGGCCCAAUUAUUAUUACAGCGUUCUCUACCAUAGAAUUCGGACUUCCGGGUAAACCCGGCGGCUUCUAUGAAGAAGGCGGCGCAAAGGAGGCUCG